CUUUAUUAAUUUUUUAUAUAUAAUUUAUAUUAAAUAUAAAAAUAUAUUUUUUAAAUAAAAAGACGAUAAGACCCUAUUAAAUUUUACUUAUAGUUUAACUGGGGAAGUUUUAAAAAUAAAAUUUUUUAUAAAAAUAAAAAUAAAUCUAAUAAAAUUAAAAUUAAAUUAAAUUACUAUAGGGAUAACAGCAUUAUAUUUUUUAAAAGUUCAUAUUAAAAAAAAUGAUUGUGACCUCGAUGUUGAAUUAUAUUUUCUUUAUUAAUGCAAUAAUUAUAAAAGUAGAUCUGUUCGAUCUUUAAAAUAUUACAUGAUUUGAGUUCAAACCGGUGUAAACCAGGUUGGUUUCUAUCUUUUUAUAAAUUCAUAUAUAUAUAUAUGUAUAUAUAUAUAUAUAUAUAUAUAAAUUUUUCAAGUACGAAAGGAAAAAAAAAUUUUUAUUUUAAUUAAUUAGCAAUUAAUAUGCAUUAGAUUUAGAAUCUAAAUAAACUAUU
rnacentral:misc_RNA from 1 species